UGGCCACAUCAUUUUGAAACACCGGUUCCGGUAUGAUCACCGAAGUUAAACAACGUCGAGCCUGGUCAACAGCUAGAUGGUUUACCGCUUAGGAAUACCAGGUGCUGCAA